UCUGGUGAAGCACUGAGUAGUCUACGUUAUCGUGGACUACUGCUACCAAAAAUCGCUGCUCGUUCAUUGGGGGUCACCCUGCCAGUAUCAAGUGAAAGAAUUCAUAGGUCUGAGGUUUCACCCUCCAAUUCAGGAUUUGGGCCCUUCAUCAAAUACCUGCAGUGUUUCUGAAAUACCCAACUGAAAACAGGCAAACAAUUCUAGGCACUACCACAAGCUCUGGAAAAACCGUGACCAUCCGCUGUCAGGAAUUUAAUUGUUUCAAAGACAGUGCUAAACCCUCGUAACGCACAUUAAGAACGACACGUUGUCACACCGAACCUGGACUCCCCAUCACUUCUCCAUCAUGGCCAGGAUCAUCUCACAGGUCAUGUCUUCAUCCGGGUCCUCGCCUCCAGCCGUGGCUUCUCCGAAGUCGAUGGGAACCAGCCCUCCCGGGCACUGCUCUCCGCUCACCAGGGAGGCCUCCUCGGCAGCGGCUUCUUGGGGAAAAGGCACAGCAUUGGCAAAUUUAAAAUAAAGCAGCCAAGAAAUCAGCAUUGAUAAGACGCUGCGAUUGUAUUUUGGAAACAAUGGCUGAAUUUUUAGCGCAGCAUUUUAGAAAACAAUACUUCCAUUUAUAGGACAGUACAAAUACCCUGAUCUCAACUGUUUAAGGCAGGGCUUCUCAACCCCAGCUUUAAGGCAGGGCUUCUCAACCUCAGCUCUGCAGACAUUCAGGGCCGGAGGGUUCCCUGCUGUGGGAACCUGUCCUGCGCACCGUUAGGCGGUUAGCAGCCUCCCUGGCCUUGACCCGUGGGGUGCCAGAAGCACCCUCCCCCAGCUGUGGCAACCAGAAAUGCCACCAGACACAGGCACCUGUGCAAAAUCACCCCCCGCUGAGAACCGCGGCUUGAGGUGAGUGCAGGUCCUGUGAAUUACUGGCCGGACGGCUUCACAAGUCUUGUCCUGGUGCCCACGGAAUGACACCGAUGACAUGAAAAAGGCCAGCUGCUCUCGGGACACCUGUCCCAUCAGCUAAUCAACAUACCCCGAGUCACCUCCGGGCCAAGCGUCCUGCUAGGUACACACCAUGAGCCACACUGAGAUCCGUGACCAUCCCUGCCCUCCUUCAAGCAGCUUCUGAACAGUCAGCCCAACUCUGGGAGUCUCAAAACAGAGGCUCACAUCCACAUCCAACCCCCUACCCGUUUUCCAAAUUCCUCCCUGAGAAGACCCGUGGAAAGUCACUGCCGAGGUACCGGGAAUGAGAGACAGAGGGCCCCGCGCAGAAGGAGGCUUUUAUCGCAUGUGACUUCAAACUUGUUGCGACAUAGUUUUGCCUACCGGUCCUUGAAGCAUUUAGGAGGGGGGGGGGGGAGAGGAAUAAGACUCAGGCCUUGUGUACGAAGAUGAACACAAGAGUCGCGGAGUAGGUGCCGUCUGACAGUAACUUGCAGAAAUCUACCGCGGACCUGGUGGGGGACACGCUGACCCACUAACGCAGCAAAAGCAGAAAUGAAACGAUGACCUACCUGGAGGAUGUAGGUUCAAAAAAAAACCCCUGAAGUGCAAAUCAAGUCCUGUUUCUGGCUAAUACAAGUCCUGUUUCUGGCUAAUACGAGUCAGGUUACUUGUCUCAAUUGACACUUUGCUUUGAAUGCACAGCUGACCCUCUUCGAUACGCAAAACGUUUUAAUAUAUCCAGUCUUUUCAUCCCCGAUUUUUAAAACUGCAAGAGUUUUGCCCUUUCUGCCCUUCUGGCUCACGAACAGUCAACGCCAGCCGUGUCUCCGGGGCCCUUCCCAGAGCUCGUCGACAGAACGGUUCUGUUUCAAAGACUAGUGUAAGUAAAUGGGGAAGAAGGCGCACGUGGGGACCUACUCUUCAUCACGAAAAAAGGUUUUUUUCUGUUCUUUCAAUGUCAACGUCCAGAAAGCACGUUGGGGAGAGGUCAGCUCAGGAUUAAUGAGGGUGAGGUGCUACCCCACAACUGCGGAGGCCGUGCCCAGGCUGGAAGCCCUCAGGCUUGAACAGUGGAGGGGCCGACGGGGCAGGGGAGAGGGGAGUCCAUGGGAACAAGAGGGAGCAGAGUGGAGCUGGCAGUCCUGCCGGUGUAUUUAUUUUUUCUCAAGACACAAGUAUAUUUGAGGCUGGUGAGAAGGAUCUGGCUGAACCGGACGAGCUGGCCGCUGGGGAGGGAGAAGAGAAACGUGGAGGGCUGAGCAGGUGGGAGAGGUGCCACGGGGUGUCCACGGGAGCCCGGGGCGGGCUGUGGCCUCCGCCAUCCAGUUCUCCACUGGCGGACGGCAUGAAGGCCUGCGGUGCGGGGCUGCACUCAGGAUAAAAGGGACCACGUGUGAGCUCUCGGUGGGACAUGGUAACUCCUGCAGGAGAUAAAACAGGUGCUCCAGAGAUGGGCCGUGGGUGCGAUUCUGGAUGGUUGUAACUGAGCUGGGCAGCUGUGCACCGACUGAGGAGCCCUAGGUCCUGCCAGGUAACCCGCCCUCCAGGACCUGGCUCCCGCGAUGCCUCCAGGGUUUGAGCUUUGCCAGGUGGGUGAGACGUGGAAAAAGAACCAGGGAGGUUUGGCAUGGGGACAGUUACUGAAAUGAGGGACGCUGCACAGAGGGGAAAGGGACGGACUGCAGGACGCCCUGUUAAACGUGAGUUUCCGAUAAAACACUGAAUCAUUGCUUAGCAUAAGUUUAUCCCAGAUAGUGUGUGGGAUAUACUCAGACGACAAAGUUAUUCAUUGUUUAUCUGAAAUUCAAAUUUAACUGGGCGUGUCCUCCACUUUACCUGACAACCACCCUUGGAGGAAGGAAGAGGCUUCCAGCUCUCCGUGGGAACAUUCACAAGUCCAGGAUUGGGGCUGGAAUCAAAAUCUAGGGAAUUUAAAGGAUGAGGAUGCCGUGCAAACAUUUUCCAUUUGUUUUUGCUGAAGGUUGCCUUGGUUUCCAGUCACACUCUAAGUCUAAGAUUCUCAUACGAAAGGAACAGAACAGCUGCACAGGAACUAAGGCCUCCCCCUCGUGGAGCAGAACCUUCCACAGGGCCGACAGCGCACGGACAACCCCUGUGUUAACCUGGGGACUCACAUCUGCUCCCUGAGGCUGGAGGGAAAAGACUGACGCCUGGAAUGGGUUGAAUGGCAGCCCUGCAAAAGACACGUCCACAUCCUAACCCCCAAACUGAGACUGGGACUUUAUUUGGAAGAAGGGUCUUUGAAGAUGUAAUGAAGGCCCUCGAGAUGAGAUCAUCCUGGAUCUUCCAGGCAGGCCCUAAAGCCAACGACACGUGUCUGUAUGAGACAGAAAAGGUGAGACGCAGAUACAGGGGAUGCGCCCACGGGCAGACAGAGGCAGAGACGGGGUGAUGCAGCCACAGGCCCAGGGGCGCCUGGGCCACCGGAGGCCGGAAGAGGCAAGGAAGGGUGCCUCCCCGGCCCCAGAGCGUGCAGAUGGAGCGUAGCCCUGCUGAUGGCCUUGAUUUAGGGCUUCUGCCUCCAGACCUACAAGCAAAUCAAUUCCCGUUGUCGUACGCCACCCAGCAUGUGGUCAUUUGCUGCGGCAGCCCCAGGAGAUGGACACAGGCCCAUAGCUCCACCAGGCACAGGGACGGUCCACCAGCACGACCAAGGACAGCGGGGGCAUGUGCAGCGUCAUCGCCUGGCUCUCACGUCCCGUCAGGACCCCACGUGACGGGGGGUGUGGACCCACCGGGGUCCCCAGGCUCACUUCCUCUGCGCAUCCUCCCACAUCACCAACCCGCCCGUCGGGGCAGCAGCAGCAAUGGCUGCUGGGACCAGGCGCCUGCUGGGGUCGGACACUCAGGGUUUCUGGAUGCGUCCCCUGCAUAGUAACGCUCAGCACCCAGGGAAACGCACAACCAGAGAACCACCGUCAAAAGAAAACCGGAUUCAUUUAACAGGAGGUACCGUCUUCCUCGGCUGCCUCUUUCGGGAUGGUCGGCUUCCUCAUUUUUGUUCGUCUUCCUUUUUCCGAGGUGGUUGGCUUUUCUCGCCUGGAGCCACACUUUUUCAGGUGUCUCUGCAUGUUAUUCUGCCGGAGAAAUGAGAGCACAGGGAAAGCCAGCAUCACUGGGAAUGGCGUGGAAAACCCACGGCUAAAGAGACGGGUAGCGGGGAGGAACGCGCGCCUUGGGUAAUCUGGUACAAAAAAGAUGGUUUUUUCAAAGGUGACCCUUUUCCGUUGUGUUUCGGUCUAGCCGAAACCCAGCUUAUUUUAAAAUAUUUUUAAAGUCGUGGACGUCAAUGAGAAGACAAAAUUCAUUUUCCUAGACUGCUUCUACUGAAGCGAGGCUUGAAAAAUUCAACAGACCCUCGAUUUUAUGAAAAUCAGUAAAAAUAUACCACGGGCACUCUACUGCCCUACCGGCUUCCCUCCAGACCCACUACGCAUGGAGGUAUUAAGACUGUACAACGUUUGGAAUUAAGAAGGCAGCUCAGAGCUUUCCUAUCGAACCUAGUAACGAUAUAUUUUUGUCUAUGAACACGCAGGAUGGUUUAAAAUAAGUGAGAACACUUACACUAAGUCCAUAUGCUAAAGUAAGAUACUGGCGGCAUGUCAUUAAAUAUGCUGAUUAUAUAAGAUGUGACCCCUAAUUUCCACUGAGACUUCAGUGUGGUGGUCGGGGCUGUCCUGGUGCGUCGGGGGGAAGAGGAAGGAUCCAUAUGUAAGGGGAGGGGGAUGGUAUUUACAUUUCUUCCAUUUUAUGCUUAUCCAUAGGGGCUGGCAAACUGCUUUUGAGCUACAACGGCAGACUUGAGUAGUUGGGGCAGAAACUGGUCUGUGAAGCUGAAAAUAUUUACUCUGGCCCUUUACAGAAAAAAGCGUGCCAAUCCCUGGUUUAUAGGAUGACGAAGUAUAUAAAACCAAGGCUUUUGGAGUCAAGGAUUCCUUUGUGAAUAUGAUAAAAAGCAAGGCUCCUUCCCCAGCAACGGGCAUGUGUAUCUCCAUACACAGUCUCCCUACAACUUCACGAAGUUCAUGGUUAAGAACUCCUGACACAAGUUUGGAUGAGC
ensembl:lncRNA